rnacentral:rRNA from 1 species
AUUGAACGCUGGCGGCAUGCUUUACACAUGCAAGUCGAACGGUAACAGGCCGCAAGGUGCUGACGAGUGGCGGACGGGUGAGUAAUGCAUCGGAACGUGCCCAGUCGUGGGGGAUAACUACUCGAAAGAGUAGCUAAUACCGCAUACGAUCUAUGGAUGAAAGCGGGGGACCGUAAGGCCUCGCGCGAUUGGAGCGGCCGAUGUCAGAUUAGGUAGUUGGUGGGGUAAAGGCUCACCAAGCCAACGAUCUGUAGCUGGUCUGAGAGGACGACCAGCCACACUGGGACUGAGACACGGCCCAGACUCCUACGGGAGGCAGCAGUGGGGAAUUUUGGACAAUGGGCGCAAGCCUGAUCCAGCAAUGCCGCGUGCAGGAAGAAGGCCUUCGGGUUGUAAACUGCUUUUGUACGGAACGAAACGGCUCUGGUUAAUACCCGGGGAUAAUGACGGUACCGUAAGAAUAAGCACCGGCUAAUUACGUG